ACAUCUAAUGCUGGUUUGUAAUAGUUACUUUCAAGUAUAUAUAUUGGGGUUGGUUAACGUACAAUUGACCUUAACGUACUAUGCGUACGCAAUGAAAAUAUAACAUGCGGAAUUGAGGUCAUAACAUGCGGAUUUAAACACACAAACUCGGAAGACUACCAAACCCGGAACACUCACCAUGCGGCUUCACAAAAUCCGGACAACCUAUUACAUGUGGAUUCACAAAAUCGGAAAAUAUAACAUGCGAACUUCCACAACUCGGAAAAUAUAAUAUACGACUUCACAAACCCGGACACCUAUAACAUGCGGCUUCACAAACUCGGAAAAAUAUAACAUGCGGAUUAAGGCCAAUUGUACACUACACUUUCUCUCUGUAUAUAUAUUUUCAAAUUUCAUUUUUCAAACUUAUAGAUAUAUAUAUUUUUUUCACAUAACCUAUUUUUGCAUGUGACAUCUGACGUGGCAGCUGGUAAAUAGGGAUGGUGAGACAGUUGGUCUUUAUAGCUAUGCACAAUGCACGGAGGCAAACUGCUGUUGUAAAACUCCUAAAACUGAAUUUAGCUCUCACACAAAUACUGAUACAUCAUCAAAGAUUACAUUACGGUUUCAUUCAGGUCAUUAUCAUGACCGUUAUGAAGAGCUCACCAAGGAAUUUCUUCCUGAUCUGAUCAUCGCUCCAAAUGCUGGUAUUGCUGCUUACAAAAGCUGGUUACCAACUAUUGAACUGAUACGUGAAAUAGAGAUCCCAACCGUUUUUUUCUGAUUAUUGUGAAGAAGCUUGUCAUCUUGCAGCCAACUGUAUACGCUCUGUGACUGGUACUCCACUCACGAUUCCAGU